rnacentral:rRNA from 1 species
AUGAACGCUAGCUACAGGCUUAACACAUGCAAGUCGAGGGGCAGCAUGAACUUAGCUUGCUAAGUUUGAUGGCGACCGGCGCACGGGUGAGUAACACGUAUCCAACCUGCCGAUGACUCGGGGAUAGCCUUUCGAAAGAAAGAUUAAUACCCGAUGGCAUAGUUCUUCCGCAUGGUGGAACUAUUAAAGAAUUUCGGUCAUCGAUGGGGAUGCGUUCCAUUAGGUUGUUGGCGGGGUAACGGCCCACCAAGCCUUCGAUGGAUAGGGGUUCUGAGAGGAAGGUCCCCCACAUUGGAACUGAGACACGGUCCAAACUCCUACGGGAGGCAGCAGUGAGGAAUAUUGGUCAAUGGACGAGAGUCUGAACCAGCCAAGUAGCGUGAAGGAUGACUGCCCUAUGGGUUGUAAACUUCUUUUAUACGGGAAUAAAGUGAGGCACGUGUGCCUUUUUGUAUGUACCGUAUGAAUAAGGAUCGGCUAACUCCGUGCCAGCAGCCGCGGUAAUACGGAGGAUCCGAGCGUUAUCCGGAUUUAUUGGGUUUAAAGGGAGCGUAGGCGGACGCUUAAGUCAGUUGUGAAAGUUUGCGGCUCAACCGUAAAAUUGCAGUUGAUACUGGGUGUCUUGAGUACAGUAGAGGCAGGCGGAAUUCGUGGUGUAGCGGUGAAAUGCUUAGAUAUCACGAAGAACUCCGAUUGCGAAGGCAGCUUGCUGGACUGUAACUGACGCUGAUGCUCGAAAGUGUGGGUAUCAAACAGGAUUAGAUACCCUGGUAGUCCACACAGUAAACGAUGAAUACUCGCUGUUUGCGAUAUACAGUAAGCGGCCAAGCGAAAGCGUUAAGUAUUCCACCUGGGGAGUACGCCGGCAACGGUGAAACUCAAAGGAAUUGACGGGGGCCCGCACAAGCGGAGGAACAUGUGGUUUAAUUCGAUGAUACGCGAGGAACCUUACCUGAUCUUGACAUCCCGAUGACCGCUUCGUAAUGGAAGCUUUUCUUCGGAACAUCGGUGACAGGUGGUGCAUGGUUGUCGUCAGCUCGUGCCGUGAGGUGUCGGCUUAAGUGCCAUAACGAGCGCAACCCUUAUCGAUAGUUACCAUCAGGUUAUGCUGGGGACUCUGUCGAGACUGCCGUCGUAAGAUGUGAGGAAGGUGGGGAUGACGUCAAAUCAGCACGGCCCUUACGUCCGGGGCUACACACGUGUUACAAUGGGGGGUACAGAAGGCAGCUACACGGCGACGUGAUGCUAAUCCCGAAAGCCUCUCUCAGUUCGGAUUGGAGUCUGCAACCCGACUCCAUGAAGCUGGAUUCGCUAGUAAUCGCGCAUCAGCCACGGCGCGGUGAAUACGUUCCCGGGCCUUGUACACACCGCCCGUCAAGCCAUGAAAGCCGGGGGUACCUGAAGUGCGUAACCGCAAGGAGCGCCCUAGGGUAAAACUGGUGAUUGGGGCU